GUGCCAGCCGCCGCGGUAAUACCGGCAGCCCGAGUGAUGGCCGAUCUUAUUGGGCCUAAAGCGUCCGUAGCUGGCUGCGCAAGUCCGUCGGGACAUCCAUCAGCCAAACUGAUGGGCGUCCGGCGGAAACUGCACGGCUUGGGACCGGAAGACUCGAGAGGUACGUCCGGGGUAGGAGUGAAAUCCCGUAAUCCCGCACGGACCACCGAUGGCGAAAGCAGCUCGAGAAAACGGAUCCGACAGUGAGGGACGAAAGCUAGGGUCUCGAACCGGAUUAGAUACCCGGGUAGUCC
rnacentral:rRNA from 1 species